AUGGAUGCCUGCCAGCCCCUCCACUUCAGUUCCCAAGACACCGCCGGGGGCCCUGUGGACACCAAGAGCGUCAGCGUGCUGCAUCUCCUUCCCAGGACGUCCCUGCCUGGGGUCAACAUGCAAGUCCCCCUGGGGGAGGCUGGGGCCCUGGGUUCCCGGGCCUACCCUGCUCCAUGGCCCCUGGGCUCCCAGAGGGUGAGGAAGACCCAGAAACCAGGGGGCACCGGGGCACACAGGCACCUGCAGCAAGAAGCAGGACUGCCCGUGGCCAGAACCAAGAUGCACAUGAUGGGAGUGUCAGUCAGCAUAGACAGGCGGCUGAAACAGGAGACAGAGAUUCUGUCCCCAUCCUGGAGCCAGAGGUCCCAGAGCCGAAACACAGCCUAUACGGGCCAAGGCAGCACUCAGGUGUCCGCCUUCUCAGUUAAGCUCAGAGCCCCCACGCAGGGCCCGUCCGUCUUCCCCCUGGUCCCCUGCCCCAGCAGCAUCGGCGAGGCAAGCGCCCCUGUGACCCUGGGAUGCCUGGUCAAAGACUACAACCCGGAGCCCGUGAACGUGACCUGGGAUGCGGGGUCCCUGGAAAUAAACGUCACAACCCUCCCUGCCACCGUCGACUUGACCUCCGGCCUCUACACCACCUCCAGCCACAUGACCACUGCCUCAGACGAGUGGGCCACACAGGAGUUCACCUGCACCGUGGAGCACGCCGAGUCUGCCCCUGUGAAAGUGACCAUGGGCCGUAGGGAAGUGUGCUCCACCAAUGUCACCCAACCCACCGUGAAGCUGUACCAUUCCUCGUGCGACCCUAGCAGCAACAGCCAUGCCAUCAUUCAGCUCCUGUGCCUCAUCACUGACUUCACCCCGGGUGACAUCAAAGUCACCUGGCUGGUGGAUGGGCAGAAGGCCAGGCACAUGUUCUCACACACCAGCACCCCCAAGCGGAAGGGCAGCCUGUCCUCCAUCAUCAGCCAGCUCAACAUCACCCAGGGCGAGUGGGUGUCCGGGAAAACCUACACCUGCCAGGUCCACUAUCAAGGCUGCACCUUUAAGGAACAUGCCCUCAACUGCGCAGAGUCCGAGCCCCGUGGCAUGAGCGUCUACCUGAUCCCGCCCAGCCCCCUCGACCUCUACGUCCACAAGUCACCCAAGAUCACCUGCCUGGUGGUGGACCUGGCCAGCGUGGAGGGUGUGGAUCUACAGUGGUCCCGGGAGAGCGAUGGCCUUGUGAAAGACACCACGAUGAACAGCAAGCGCCAGUUCAACUUGACUUACACCAUCACAUCGACCCUGCCAGUGGAGGCCGAUGACUGGAUCGAGGGUGAGACCUACACAUGCAAGUUGAGCCACCCGCAACUGCCCAAGGAGAUUGUACGCACCAUCGCCAAGGCCAACGGUCAGCCUCCAGCCAGGGGGCGGGGUGGGUCCUUGCUGGAACCUGGGCUGACACCACACCUGUCCACAGGCAAGCGUGCUGUCCCCGAGGUCUAUGUGUUCCUGCCACCCGAGGAGGAGCAGAAGACCAAGCACAUGGUCACCCUCACCUGCCUGAUCGAGAAUUUCUUCCCCGCGGACAUCUCAAUCCAGUGGCUGCGCGAUGGCUCCCUGAUCCAGACGGACCAGCACGUCACCACGUGGCCCCUCGAGGUCAACAGCUCCAGCCACACCUUCUCUGUCAUCAGCCGCCUGAAGGUCAGCCGGGCAGACUGGGAGAAGAGGAUCCAAUUCACCUGCCAGGUGGUCCACGAGGCUCUGGCAGGCUCUCGGACCCUCAAGAAAUCAGUGUCCAAAGCCCCUGGUAAUUGA